UAAUACCUUUGCUCAUUGACGUACCUGCAGAAAGAAGCACGGCUAACUCCGUGCAGCAGCGCGGUAAUACGGAGGGUGCAGCGUUAUCGNAAUUACUGGGCGUAAAGCGCACGNNGGCGGUUUNNUNANUNAGAUGUGAAAUCCCCGGGCUCAACCUGGGAACUGCAUCUGAUACUGGCAAGNUGAGUCUNGUAGAGGGGGGUAGAAUUUCCAGGUGUAGCGGUGAAAUGCGUAGAGAUCUGGAGGAAUACCGGUGGCGAAGGCGGCCCCCUGGACGAAGACUGACGCUCAGGUGCGAAAGCGUGGGGAGCAAACAGGAUUAGAUACCCUGGUAGUNCACGCCGUAAACGAUGUCGACUUGGAGGUUGUGCCNNGAGGCGUGGCUUCCGGAGCUAACGCGUUAAGUCGACCGCCUGGGGAGUACGGCCGCAAGGUUAAAACUCAAAUGAAUUGACGGGGGCCCGCACAAGCGGUGGUGCAUGUGGUUUAAUUCGAUGCAACGCGAAGAACCUUACCUGGUCUUGACAUCCACGGAAGUUUUCAGAGAUGAGAAUGUGCCUUCGGGAACCGUGAGACAGGUGCUGCAUGGCUGUCGUCAGCUCGUGUUGUGAAAUGUUGGGUUAAGUCCCGCAACGAGCGCAACCCUUAUCCUUUGUUGCCAGCGGUCCGGCCGGGAACUCAAAGGAGACUGCCAGUGAUAAACUGGAGGAAGGUGGGGAUGACGUCAAGUCAUCAUGGCCCUUACGACCAGGGCUACACGCGUGCUACAAUGGCGCAUACAAAGAGAAGCGACCUCGCGAGAGCAAGCGGACCUCAUAAAGUGCGUCGUAGUCCGGAUUGGAGUCUGCAACUCGACUCCAUGAAGUCGGAAUCGCUAGUAAUCGUGGAUCAGAAUGCCACGGUGAAUACGUUCCCGGGCCUUGUACACACCGCCCGUCACACCAUGGGAGUGGGUUGCAAAAGAAGUAGGUAGCUUAACCUUCGGGAGGGCGCUUACCACUUUGUGAUUCAUGACUGGGGUG
rnacentral:rRNA from 1 species